GCAGAGUUUUCUUCAUAUACUCUAUACAUGUCAUCGGCCGCAUAUACGCAUGAGGAUGUGAGUCAAUUUUCUUAUGUUUCGGAGGCAACUGUGCGCUUUGAGUAUGCGGUGGAACUGAUUGAUGAGGGACCUUCAUAUCAUGUUGACUAUACAGGUGAAGGAGUUGCACAUAGUUUUCAUUAUACGGAGGAGGAUGUGGAACCAAGUGAUCCAGAACCAACGCAUCGUCGAAAACAACCUAUACGGGCG
rnacentral:lncRNA from 1 species